GAAUUGCACACCUGCCAAAGAGUGAAUUUUACAGUAUGCAAAUUACACCUCAAUAAAGCUGUUAAAAAUAAGAAGGUGAACAGACCAGUGGCCAUGCCUCCGGGGGCCCAGAGACAGCCUCAAACAAAGGACCAUGAGGAAAUCCAGAGAGCCCAGCUCUCUCAAGACCCCCGGCAAGGCGGGCACGUCACCCCCACGACAGACGCGCUCACAAGGGCAACCUUCUCAGCUACUCUGGGCCGCAGUUCUUCUCUUCUGUGAAAUGGGAAGAUCGAUCAUAUCCUGGGGCUGCUGGAGGCUCAAGUCAGAGACUUCCAGACAGUGCCAGGCACAUGGCCAAGAACAAGCCCAGAUGCGGCUGUUAGGAAACGUAACAUCACCCGUGGCUUCACCACGCUGCCAUCUGCGGACAGGGCUGGUGUAGGCCAGAGACUGGCCAACGUUUUCUACGAGGGGCCAGAGAGCAAAUAUUUAGAGCUUUGCUGGCCAUAUGGUCUCUGCUGCAACUGCUCAUUUCUGCCGUCGCCAGGCAAAAGCUAACACAGACAACACGUAAACAAAUGAGCGUGGCUGUGUUCCAAUAAAACUUUUAAAAAAUAAAAACAGACAGUGGGACAGAUUUGUUCCACAGACCCCUGCACUAGAUCUCUGGUUUCCAGACUUUUGAAUCACACUAAUUACUAACAUUUAAUUACUUUUUUUUUAUAAAUUAAAAAAAAAAUAGAUCUUGCCACUUUGCCCAGGCUGGUCUCAAACUCUUGGGCUCUAGUGAUCCUCCCAACUCA
rnacentral:lncRNA from 10 species